GAUGAACGCUGGCGGCGUGCCUAAUACAUGCAAGUCGAGCGAACGGACGAUAAGCUUGCUUCUCUGAUGUUAGCGGCGGACGGGUGAGUAACACGUAGAUAACCUACCUAUAAGACUUGGAUAACUUCGUGAAACCAUAGCUAAUACCGGCUAAUAUUUUGAACCGCAUGGUUCAAAAGUGAAAGACGCUCUUGCUGUCACUUAUAGAUGGAUCCGCGCUGCAUUAGCUAGUUGGUAAGGUAACGGCUUACCAAGGCAACGAUGCAUAGCCGACCUGAGAGGGUGAUCAGCCACACUGGAACUGAGACACGGUCCAGACUCCUACGGGAGGCAGCAGUAGGGAAUCUUCCGCAAUGGGCGAAAGCCUGACGGAGCAACGCCGCGUGAGUGAUGAAGGUCUUCGGAUCGUAAAACUCUGUUAUUAGGGAAGAACAUAUGUGUAAGUAACUGUGGCCGUCUUGACGGUACCUAAUGAGAAAGCAACGGCUAACUACGUG
rnacentral:rRNA from 1 species